rnacentral:misc_RNA from 1 species
AAAGUUCAUUGUUGAAGUUGAACCAGCAAAGCCUGCUAAAGAUGGAAGACCAUCAAUGGGUCCUGUUUACAGAAGUCUUUUUGCUAAAGAUGGAUUUCCUCCACCUAUUCCUGGACUUGAUAGUUGUUGGGAUAUUUUCCGUUUGUCAGUGGAGAAAUAUCCUAACAAUCGAAUGCUUGGACACCGCGAAAUUGUAGAUGGAAAACCUGGAAAGUAUGUGUGGAUGUCUUACAAAGAAGUAUAUGACAUUGUGAUCAAAGUAGGAAAUUCCAUCCGUAGCUGUGGUGUAAAUAAGGGAGACAAAUGUGGUAUCUAUGGUGCUAAUUGUGCUGAGUGGAUAAUAAGCAUGGAGGCAUGCAAUGCUCAUGGACUUUACUGUGUUCCUCUGUAUGACACCUUAGGUGCUGGUGCAGUGGAAUUUAUCAUUUCCCAUGCUGAGGUUACAAUUGCUUUUGUCGAAGAGAAAAAACUUCCUGAGCUUCUGAAAACUUUUCCUGAUGCGUCAAAGUACUUGAAGACUAUUGUGAGUUUCGGGAAGGUCACUCCUCAACAGAAGGAAGAGGUUGAAAAGUUUGGGGUGGUUCUGUACUCCUGGGAUGAGUUUCUACAACUGGGAAGCGAAAAACAGUUUGAUCUUCCUGUGAAGAAGAAGGAAGACAUUUGUACAAUAAUGUAUACUAGUGGAACGACUGGAGACCCCAAAGGUGUCUUGAUUUCAAAUACUAGUAUUGUUACUCUUAUAGCUGGAGUAAAGCGUCUGCUUGGGAGUGUGAAUGAGUCGUUGACAGUGGAUGAUGUGUAUCUUUCGUAUCUUCCCCUGGCACAUAUCUUCGAUCGAGUGAUUGAAGAGUGUUU